ensembl:lncRNA
GAGAAUGAAGGGGGUGGUAUGAUGCUUCUGACAAGGAGAGGAAGGAAAAAGAAAAAAAAAAUUAGUUUAAAAGUUCUUGAGAUCUUCUAUAGGGGAAACAAUUUGCUCUCUUCAUGGUGGGGAAAGCAGUGGAUAUUGUUUUCCUUGAGUUCAACAAGAUUUCAUAGCAUGUUUUUUUUGUUGAGUCAGAGAUGAGUGGAAUAUAAGCCGUUAUUUAGAUAAUGAGAGGCCACUAUCGGAUUUCCUGGGAGCAUGCUCUUCUCCAGGCUGAACAUCCCCAGCUCUCUUGACCUGUCCUUGUAGGGAAGAUGCUCCAUCCCUUGGAUAAUUCUGACUGUUGAUAUUAUAGAAUCAUAGAAAAUAAUGCAUGUAUAUAUUACAUCCUUCUAGAUACGUGGCUCUAUCUGCAGGAUCAUGGCUUUGAUUUACCUGUCUGAACAACAAAAUUAAAAAGGAUGAUACCUGGGUGAAAAUAUGAUGCUACCAAUGUUGGGUAAUUUGCAAAUGGCAUAACUUGCUCAGUUGUCUCUGUCUCCUGAGCAUUUUUUUGAAGCAUGCAAUUGAUGAUUGAGAGACCUCCAUAUAGACAAACUAAACAAAAGGUAACAAUUUAUCCCAAUGUUUUGGUUUACUGCUGAUGAAUUUUUUUAGCAUCUGCUUAAGUGUUUGAUUAAACUAUUCUACAAGCCCAUCUGUUUCUGGCUGAUAGGAAACUGUGUGUGAAGGGGGAAUUUUAAAAGCUUGCAUACCUCAUUUAACAGAGAAGACAUAAAAUUAGUGCCCUGAUCUGUUGAAUUUUCUAAGGGUAAAUCUACUCUGAUAACAGCAUUAAUCAAUUCAUUAGUUUCAUGUUUUGUCAGCUAAGAUUUAAUAGCACUACUGUGAGGUUUGUAAUGUGCCAGCAUCUCUUCCACCUUUUGUUAUGUUCAUCAGUCAAGAAAUGUGACUAAUGGGAAUUAAGUUUCAAAUUAAAUAUUCCUAGCAUAGCUGUAUGACAUACCGCUAUAUAUAAAACAGUGAGUACACCUUUAGAUG